rnacentral:rRNA from 1 species
AUUGAACGCUGGCGGCAGGCCUAACACAUGCAAGUCGAACGCGGGGCGGACGGGUGAGUAAUGUCUGGGAAACUGCCUGAUGGAGGGGGAUAACUACUGGAAAAGGUAGCUAAUACCGCAUACCAUCGGCUGGGCCCAGAUGGGAUUAGCUAGGAGGGGGGGUAAUGGGUCAACUAGGCGACGAUCCCUAGCUGGUCUGAGAGGAUGACCCGCCACACAGGAACUGAGACACGGUGCAUACCCCUACGGGAGGAAGCAGUGGGGUAUAUUGCCCAAUGGGCGCAAGCCUGGUGAAGCCAUGCCGAGUGUAUGAAGAAGUCCUUCGGGUUGUAAAGUACUGUCAGCGAGGAGUCGUUACACGUAGAAGAAGCACCGGCGAACCCCGUGCCAGCCGUCGCGGUAAUUC